rnacentral:piRNA from 1 species
GGAAGUGGAAAGUUGGAAGACAGA